rnacentral:lncRNA from 1 species
CCCCCUCGUUUUGGGGCUGGGCGCAGAGCGGUGGUGCCCCCAAAGCCCUCUGUGGGCAUUUUUGGGGUGGGACCAGGGGUCACCCACCCCCCCCAGCAGCAGGGCUGCUGCAGAGUGAGCAGUGGGGAGCGGGACCCCCCCCCCCCCCGCAGCCUGGGCAUCCCCCCGCAGCAGGAGGGAUUUGGGGAAGGAGAUAAAUACCAGAUGGCAGCGGGCCGGGCUGCCAGGAAGGCGCUCCCCGCGUGCCAAGAGCUGCUGGCACCAGGCGCCCCUGCACCCACAGACGGCUGCCGCAGUGCCCCCACCCCCCGGGGGGGCUGUGACACGUCCCCCCCACCUCCCCGGGGACACUGGGGCAGGACAGCGGUGCUGAGCCACCUCCCCGUGAUAUAUAGGGCCCGUGGGGACCCAGCUGGCACCCCCACACCAACCACAGCCCUACGGGCACCCACCUGUGCCCACCGCCCACUCUGUGCCCCCCCCAGGGCUGCCAGCAGGCCCCCCCCCCCCCCCCCCUCCUGUUGUCAUGGUGAUGGGACGGGGGUGGCAGACGGCGAUGGAGCGGGGGCACCCGGCAGGGAAGCUGGCCACCCCCGGGCUCCCCCCCGCCCCCAGCUCCCCGGGGGGGGAGGGUGGAUUGGGGAGAGCCCCACCCCCACCCCCCCCCCCCGCAUCACCAAGACCUCGGCCCCAGGUGGCUCAUGGGGGGGGAUGGGGUUGGUGCUGUCCCUUUUCCACCCACCCCAGUGGGGGAUUUGGGGUGGGAGCCCACCGGGGGGGGCCCUUUUUCCUCAUCUCACUGCCCCGAGCCCUUCACCACCCCCCAGGCUCCCCAGCACCACAAGUGCCCCCACCACCACAUCCGCUCCCCCAAAUUUGGGGACAAACAGCCCGCCAACCCCUACCCCUCGGCUACCAGAGAGCUGGAGGCACCUCCUGAUGUCCCAAGCCCCCCAGGUGACCUCCGGCAGCCCCCCCCCCCCCCCGGGGCCCCCCCCGGCCCCCCCCCCCCCCCGGUGGGGACACCCCCGGGUGCCGGUG